GCUGCGUGCCUUCGCAGCGUCCCCAGGAGCUGAGCUGGACCCCGACCCCGUGCUCAGGGCUCACUGAGCUGAGCAGCCAGGGGGAGGAAAGGGCAGAGCAGGUCUUGUGACGGCUGCGAGGGUUAUUUACCUCCCUCCCCAGGGAGAGAAACCAGCUCAUCUUUCUCCUGCACCAGCUUCCGUGAUCAUCAUUUGACCAAAACCCCCGCCCUGGAGCUUCCCUCUGGACGGAGCACUGCUUGUGCUGGGGGCUUGCCUGCAGGCCUGCUUUUCCUGGUCUUGUUCCCUCUCACGCAGACAGGAGGCACUGCUUGUCCCGGGGCACCCGGGCUAAAGCAGAGGAAGGAAGCAAGGGCAGCCUGCUCCACAAGCGAAGGACUCAGAUAUGGAAACCGGCCCGGAGGGUAUUACUUGAGUAUACCCUGGUAUUACUUGAGUCUUUUUUCAAAUGUUCCCUGGAGGGAAACAGAAGGAAAGAGGGAAGGAAGGAAAUGAAGAAGAAAGGAGGGAAGGAAG
rnacentral:lncRNA from 1 species